rnacentral:rRNA from 1 species
AUUUUCUUAUGUCUGACCUGCCCACUGAUUUAUUUAAUGGCCGCGGUAUUUUGACCGUGCAAAGGUAGCAUAAUAAUUUGUCUUUUAAUUGAAGGCUUGUAUGAAUGGUUGGACGAGAAAACUACUUUCUUUAUAAUAAAAUGAUUAAUUUUAUUUUUUAGUUAAAAAGCUAAAAUUUUGUUGUAGGACGAGAAGACCCUAUAGAACUUUAUAUUUAUUUUUAUAUUAAUAUUUUUAGUUAAUAAUAUAUUGUAUUUUUAUAAAUAUUUUGUUGGGGCGACAAGAAAAUUUAUUUAACUUUUUUUUAUCAAUUUCAUUAAUUAAUGUAUAAAUGAUCCUUUAUUAUGGAUAAUUAGAAUAAGUUACCUUAGGGAUAACAGCGUAAUUUUUUUGGAGAGUUCUUAUCGAUAAAAAAGUUUGCGA